GGUAGCGGCCAAAGCUCAAGGGUUACACCCGGUCCCAUCCCGAACCCGGAAGUUAAGCCUUGACACGUUCCUUGUUGUACUGCGUAAUACGUGGGAAGCCUGGAAAGCUGCUACGC
rnacentral:rRNA from 1 species